rnacentral:lncRNA from 1 species
GUAUGACUUUACUUCAGCUCCUGUUCUACUGAGUCUGAACUGCAGCCAAGGGGCCAAACCCAGGCAAGAAGAGGGGCUGCAGGAGAAUCAGAGAUAUAGCAGAAACGAAGAUUUAAGAUUGAGAAGAAUAAAAGAGGAGUCUCAAAACAAUGAAGAGCAAUCCCAAGGGAGAAGAGGUAAAUACCUUCAACAGAAAGUGGUGACCUCAUGAAAUAUUUACUCAGGGGGAGUUGAUUAAUUAGGAAAUCACUUUUUUUUAAGAAUAUUGUCAUUGUAUGAGCAUGAUAAUCCAAGGGAAAGUCUAUAU